AGCGGAGGGCAUCUAGCGCGCACGCGCCUUAACUGUCGCGAUGCUUAAAAGGAGGCUGUUGUUUCGGAAGGGGGAGGGCGGGGGGAGUCCGAGCGACGCCGAACAGGAAGAGCCAAGCGCGCCUACAGGAUAUAUGUGCUUGCUACUCUUGAGUUUGAAGAUGGGCAGUGGAAGUGGCACGUGCUUCUGCUAAAAGUGUGUUAACAGGGUAGUCAUGAAAUUUUUGUUCUCAACAGUGUUACAGCAAUGAAAACAUAAAUAACUUUAGUGCCUGAAACAAAGCUAUUAUAAGUUGUAAAUAUUACAAGUGAAUGCAGUUUAAAUAAUUUAAAUUAAUGUAUAAGAUUUGUUUGCUUUGUAAAGCACUUUAAAUGCUGUGGAGUAAACUGAGGAAAGUUCCUCCUCAGUUUGUAUUUUUAUGUGUAUAUAUUGCCUUAUGUUGUGGUUUUGAUACAAUAAAAUUAAAAUGGUUUACAAUUA